GGCUUUACAUCUUCGUUCUCUCCACAUCUCCUAUGAGAGGCUCGAGCCAAACAUCAGCUCCACCAAUCUUCCUCAAUAGGCUAUGGGUAGCAGGUACUUCAAGUGUAACCUUUCUCAUAGCCAUACCUCUGUUGUUGGGGCCAGAUUCAGAAUGAGAAACAGAGGAAGAUGGAAUAGUGGAAGGAGGAGUAGUAGAAGAGGUGGAAACAGCAGAAGCGGCAGAAACCAAAAUAGGAGCUGGGGGCCAGAUUCAGAAUGAGAAAUAGGGGAAGAAGGAAUAUUGGAAGGAGGAGUAGUAGAAGAGGUGAAAACAGCAGAAGCGACAGAAACCAAAGCAGGAGCUAAAAAAGGAACGGGAGAAGGAACAUUUGAAGUAAAUGAAGGAUCAGUAGAAGAUGUCAAAGGGGAAGAAACAGACAUGGUUGGAUGAGGAAUAGAAGAAACAAGAGAGAUAGGAACGGAAGUAGAUAAAGGAAUUUUGUUAAAAAUGGGGCCAAGUUCCCCACUUUCAAAACCACUCACGAAGAGAUGGUGAACAAGUUCACUCGUGUCUCUAGGUGCUAGAUCUUCAUCGGAGUGGAUUAAAACAUGCUCAGUAAUGGAAGUAAUUGCAGAAGAAGCAAUUGCAGAAGAGGUACGAGCAGGAGAAUCUUCAAUUUCUUCAUCCAUAAUAACACAUCUCCUAGCUCUUUGUCUAGAUACCAAUGAGGUAUUAUUUUCUUCCUCAUUUUCAGUUUCCACUACCAUAGCUUUUCUUUUGGCUAACUAUGCUGUAGCCUUGUCCAAACCAAGGGAGGUGUUGGCAGUAGUGCGCAUCCACUGCCAUCCCUUUUAUUCCAAAUCUUGAUAAAAAGAAAGAUUUUGGUUUAUUAUUUUAUAUAUACAUCUAGAAAACGUACACGAAAAGAGGUAUAUACCAUGUGUUUUCACUAUGCACCCAUGUAAGGAGGAAAUAGACUUCCAAGUUCUAUCUUCCUUAGAAGCAAUUUUUAAAAUUGAAUCUACCCAACCACGGAAGUUGGGAAUAGGCUCCACAUCCCCCAUGGUUG
rnacentral:lncRNA from 1 species